CUACGUGCCAGCAGCCGCGGUAAUACGUAUGUCGCAAGCGUUAUCCGGAAUUAUUGGGCAUAAAGGGCAUCUAGGCGGCCAGAUAAGUCUGGGGUGAAAACUUGCGGCUCAACCGCAAGCCUGCCCUGGAAACUAUGUGGCUAGAGUACUGGAGAGGUGGACGGAACUGCACGAGUAGAGGUGAAAUUCGUAGAUAUGUGCAGGAAUGCCGAUGAUGAAGAUAGUUCACUGGACGGUAACUGACGCUGAAGUGCGAAAGSUAGGGGAGCAAACAGGAUUAGAUACCCUGGUAGUCCUAGCUGUAAACGAUGAUUACUGGGUGUGGGCAUGAAGAGUGUCCGUGCCGAAGCUAAUGCGAUAAGUAAUCCGCCUGGGGAGUACGGCCGCAAGGCUGAAACUCAAAGGAAUUGACGGGGGCCCGCACAAGCGGAGGAACAUGUGGUUUAAUUCGAUGAUACGCGAGGAACCUUACCCGGGCUUGAA
rnacentral:rRNA from 1 species